CCUACGGGUGGCAGCAGUGGGGAAUAUUGCACAAUGGGGGAAACCCUGAUGCAGCAACGCCGCGUGAGUGAUGACGGCCUUCGGGUUGUAAAGCUCUGUCUUCAGGGACGAUAAUGACGGUACCUGAGGAGGAAGCCACGGCUAACUACGUGCCAGCAGCCGCGGUAAUACGGGGGGUGCAAGCGUUGUCCGGAAUCAUUGGGCGUAAAGAGUUCGUAGGCGGCACGUAAAGUCUGGUGUUAAAGGCAGAGGCUCAACUUCUGUACGGCACUGGAUACUUGCGAGCUAGAAUGCGGUAGAGGUAAAGGGAAUUCCUGGUGUAGCGGUGAAAUGCUUAGAUAUCAGGAGGAACAUCGGUGGCGUAAGCGCUUUACUGGGCCGUAAUUGACGCUGAGGAACGAAAGCCAGGGUAGCAAAUGGGAUUAGAUACCCCUGUAGUC
rnacentral:rRNA from 1 species